UACGUAGGGCGCAAGCGUUGUCCGGAAUUAUUGGGCGUAAAGGGCGCGUAGGCGGUUUGGCAAGUGGAUGGUGAAAUCCCUCGGCUUAACCGAGGAACUGCCGUCCAAACUGCUUCGCUUGAGACCGGGAGAGGUGAGUGGAAUUCCCAGUGUAGCGGUGAAAUGCGUAGAUAUCGGGAGGAACACCAGUGGCGAAGGCGGCUUCCUGGACCGGUUCUGACACUGAGGCGCGAAAGCGUGGGGAGCGAACAGG
rnacentral:rRNA from 1 species